UUUUUUCUUUUUUUCUUUUUCUUUUUGGAUCAUGUGUUUUUCUCUGUAAUAGGUUUGAAUAAAUCUCAUUGUGAUGUGAGCUACAAUCAUAAACAGCAUUAUUAGAUGCUGGUAUAGACUUCUACACUGAGCUUCAACCAGGUACAAGAUCUACACAAAAGAAAGCUGUAAGCUGUUGGGCCUUGGGGACCACAAACUUGAGGUCCCUGAGUCCAAUUCCUAGAGUCCAAAGUUAUAAUCUCAGUGCUGAGGAGGCAUAGACAGCUGGAUCUCAGGACACAUUGGCCAGUCAGACCUCGUCAGUGAGAAACUGUCUGGAAAAAGAAGUAUAGAACCUGAAGAACAACAUUUAAGGUUGUUCUCUGGUCUCUCUCUCUCUCUCUCUCUCUCUCUCUCUCUCUAUCUCUCUCUGUCUCUCUUGUCUCUGUUUCUCUCUCUGUUUUUACACACACACACACACACACACACUAAGCUUUUUAAUACCAUUUACAAUUCUGUCUUCCUGUCUUCCCCAUGCCUCCCAAGAAGGAAACAGAGUAAGAUGCUGCCUUCGAAGCAGGGAUUUGACAAAGCAUCCCGAGAGAGACAGUUGAGGGGACUGUGAGGAAACUGGAGACUUCAGGUCCAGUUCUGCACAGUUUGACUUCACAGCAUUCAUUGCUUCUUGUACAAGGCGCAGACCUGCACAGACGGCUACAAAUCAGCUACAGCAUCCCUGUCGCUGCAACUUCCCCUCUGCACGAUCAGAACGGAAACGUUUGCUCUAUUGGAAGGGAGUGAUAAGGAUGGAUUUUUAAAGUUUCCAUUUUUAAGUGAAAAUGAAAGAAAAAUGCUCUCCUAGAUGUGUUGUGCCUUUGAGCUCCGUUUGAAAAAAAGGGGGGGAAAAGGCAGAGAAAGCCGCUGUGAAGGUCACUGAGUGAAAGAACUUCCUCAGGGCACAGAAUAAAUUAAAUCCCAAGGAAAAAAUAAAAUGUGAUUUCCAGAGUGUGAGGCACAAACUCCAAAUGACAAUGAUUGACAGCCAAACUAUAUCCGUGCAAUAUCCAAGACUGCACGUUCUCAUUUACCUCGGUGUAGCCAGCAAGCGCCCAUUAAACAUCCGUCUGAUGCCCAAAUUAACCUUCUUGGCAAACUGAAAGAGGCACAAACUAUCAUAAUCAACCUUUCAUUAUCACAGCAGCCUCUAGUUAAAGGGUCAGAAUAAUUGUGCCAUCAGAGCCUUGAUUGUUUUCAAUCAACAGCCGGCUGGAGUGACAGCUCGGUGAUGGAGGAGUCUGAUGAAGCCGCACCAGUCCUAAUCAGAGCAGAUGAAAGGAAGGCAUGAUUGGUGCAAAUGAACAGUCGUGCCUCUCCUUUUCAUUUACAAUCUGAAAUUACUCUUAAAUUUGUGAGGUUUUUUUUUUUCCUCCCUUAUGAGCACCACUGAAAGAAUGUUUGACUUAUUAUGAGUUCUGACAGUGCAGAGUUAUAAAACACAGGUAGGGUUAUCAGCUGAGGCUUUAAGUGGGUAUUCAGCAUAAUUCUAACAAAUUCACUCUUGAAAAGCACAAAAUGACUAAAAAGGCUUCCAUGGCCUAACCUCUCAGCGCAGUCUGAUAAAGAGCGGUUUUUGCUCAGCUGGCUUUGCAAAUGCUGAGAGGAUCGGGCUGAGAACACGCAUGCGCCGGAGACGCUUUCAUUAGCUCCACAGUACAGGUCCCUCGGUCCCAGUCCUUUUUGUUCUCUGAGAACAGGAAGGACAUGAAGAGCUGAGAAAGACUUCAUUCAUCAGUGGGUGCGCAUCAGCUAGAAUCAACUGUGGCUACAAACCUGAAGCUCCCCUGCUGUACCACAAGUGGCAGAGAACGGAGCAGAACCACCAAUCCAAAGCUGACAUAAAAAGAGUAUCCCAAGAGAAGAAUGGAAGUUCUAAGACGGGGCCAGGUAAACGGGGCAUUAAAUGGAUUUGGAGAAAAUGAAACAGUAUGAAGUUAGUUAUACAGUCCUUCUUGCAUUAACAAACUGUAGAUAUUAACAUCCUUUAAAACAUAGCGAUGAAUGGAACCGAAUAAACAAGCCUCUAGCUUCGAUUUUCUUAAGUUUGCAAUCAACUAGGGACUCAUCAUGAAACUGAUAGGUUUUAAGUCAAAGCUACAAAACAAAGGGAAAAGGUUUAGCUAUAAAAUCCGUGUGUAUUAUUUGCAUGUGCACAAGUGCAUAUAUGCACGCACGUGUGUGUGGUACAGGCUCUGAAGGAUUUUACGUUUCUUUAGGAUUUGAACAUUCAGGAUUCUACCUCUCUGGAGUGCACUGCUUUGAAUUGUGCUCAGCACUGCUGUAAGGCGAGAGGGUAUCCGCUGGCUCAGCUUUCAGGGUGCUGGGAUUCAUUUGCUGUCUUGAUUAUAAUACUCCUGUAACAGAGAGGAGGUGCUAGAACCACGAUGGAGAACGUCAUCACUGGGAAUGUACAACUCUGCAAAAUGGGCCCAAAGAGAACCUAAGACUCAUCUCUUUCUAUGGGUUCUCAUGCAGACCGUGGCCUUGGAAUCACUUGUUUCCAGAUAUUUUAAGUCCAAAUGUCCUCUCUUCCUAUAUGGUAGAGAUGGACUACAGGGCUCAUGCACUCCAGUUUCUAGUCCCAGGUAGAAACCAUAGCCUGCGGAUUUGCCCAGUCUUCCUUAGCUACCUCAGCAGAAGUAAAGGAACUCAGCGCUCUCUUACACUGAUGAAGUCGCCUCACAGGAUCUGCAAGUGACUCCACCUUAUCAGCCUCCCCUUGGCAUUCUGACGAACAUAAGGUACUUCACUGAGCAACUGAAAUGCUCUAUACGUUCUUCUUAAUUGACCCAUCUAAAGAACCCCAAAUUUUCUGGCAAGACCCUCAGCAAUAUAUCCUACUGCUGAUUCCGCUACUGCUGUUAUCAGAGUCAUUUUUGCUGUUUCCCACAGAGUUGUACAAGAUGUUCAAAGGAAUGCUGGCCAGUUACUGAAAAUAUCAAUAGUUGAUUUUAUUCAUUAUGGAGUAAGAUUUAGAUAUGGAAGAUGUAGGGACUACUUUUAUUUAUUUGGUUGGGGGAGAUGCUUGGUGUAUUUUGAGAGAAUAAAGUAAGAUCACCAUUGGAACAAAAUGUAAAGUGAGUUAGUUAUCAAUGAAUCUCACACUUAGACUCUGCUUUUCUCACUAGUUAAAAUUUAGAUAAAACUUGCCUCAUACACUAUAAUAAGUCUAAGGAAAGAUUCAUAUGAAAUUAUGUGUAAAAAAUUCAUUAAAAUAGAAAGCUCUCUAGGCUUCUAAGAAUUAUUAUUGUUGUUAUUAUUGGUGGACUUCUGUGCCUGCCCUCAGGGUUUCUACCUCAUAUACAGCUUAUGGUUGGGUUUUAUUUUUAAAUCCCUGAUAACCCAGGUAGCAGCAAUAUUACUGCAGGCCACCAAUGCAUAAGUAAUAUUCUCCAGUCAUCUUUUCCCUUCUCAUAACAACAACAAAAAUAUCAGUCUGGGAACAACAUGAAUCACAAUGAAAAUUAGAACCAGAAAACAUAAAUAUGUCAUAUCUCAUAAAUCACCUUCUUGUUCUGUUGUGUUCAAUUCCAAAAAAAAAAAAAAAAAAAAAAAAGGAAAAAGAAAAAGAAACUGUUAACUCCCGGGACCAGCAGCACAUGAAUACAAGUUGCCUUUCUUGUAAUUUCUGAUAAUCGCUACCCCUCACAGCUACUCGACAGCACACUGCCCUAGUGCUGGGAAUUGGCUGCAGCAAAGUCCCUAUGAAAUGGUUGUGUCAUGUGUCUCACAAAGGCAUAAAGCCCAGACAAACAACAGCAAAGCCACUAGUCAAGCUACCGGGGAAGCGCCCGCACGGAGAAUUAGCAGCGUGGAGGUCAGGAGGAAUGACUGAAUACACAGUAGCAUGUUCAAGUACCAAGCCCAGGCAGAACAGCAUCUCUCAGGGUCCAGCUGGGGGCCCGUAAAAGAAGCAUCCUCGGGACUGCACCAUUUGAGAUGCAAAGGAGCUGGUGUUUAUUUUCUCCACUAACAUUUAAUAGAAUGUACAAGACUGUAUCCGCUGGGUGGAACGAGUAGGCAGUUUCGGGAAGAAAAUUGAGAACUGGUACAAAUUUGAUUAGCUUAGGGAUUGGUGAGUAAAAAUACAUAUGGAAAUUAAUACAUAAAUAUACCCUGCAAAGGCCUAGCCCGGAAAAAUAUAGCAAUACUAUUAUACUACAACUUAUGCACAAAAAUAGACAAGGAUAAAAUGAAAGAUUACACUUUCGGAGUAAAAGUCUAAGAACACAGAGUCUGACUUCAUUUUAAGUUACCAAGAUCUAUGUAUUUAAAAUGUGAACUCUAUUUUGGAAAAUUUUCGAUUAUAUAAGCAUACCCUAUGAUUCAUUUGAUUAGGACAAAGACCAGCAGAGAUUUUUCAAAGCUAUAUGAGCAUGACCAGGAUUCAUCAAUGAACAAGUUACUAAAGAAACAAUGAAGGAACCCUGGAUGCUGAGGGAAUGUCCAAGCAAUUGCACUUCUAUUUCUGUAGAAACAAAGUCAUUUCAAUACACCCCAAGUGACAAGCAGAACUGUCCACAGCAGACCCACAGCACCCAGGAAAGCAGGGCCACUACCAAGCAUCCAGCACCCAUGCCUUACUUACCGCAGGCAGCAAGAGUGCUCAGUACCAUCUGGCUGCCACAGCAGGGCCUCAGUACCUAGUUAUCAUGAAUGAAGGACUGAAGCACGGCCAUAGCACACAGAAGAAUAAGCAAGAUGACAGACUCAGUGCAGGAAGAGCAGUCAUACUCUUUCUACUGUGGGUGCUACUGCACAACUACACAGAGAACCGCAAGAGCUUAAAAUGUCUUCUUACGUCUCCAUUUCUUUAGUCCUUGUGGUUGGAUACAGAGCCUCACUCACCACAGAAAAGACUCUAAGCACUGAGAUAUACCCGGCCUUUCCUAAUUUUGUUUAAAGGCAAAGGAAUGUUUGAUGCAAUCUGUUUACCAGUUCUUAAUAACUUUAGGCUCUUGGCCAGGGUGGAUAGGUACAAAGUUAGGGGACAGGAAUUUGCAGCUUUGUUCUGCCAAUUUUCCACUUAUAUCAUUGGACUGAAAAAAAAUGGUAAGUAUAAAAGCAUUCUCAAGACUUUGACUCACUGUGUAAAUCAGAAGCACAGGGAUGCAUUGGUUCACCAGUUGCAGUGUGUGAUCGGCUUAUGGCGGAUCAGAAGUAUAUUCGGGUCAGGUUAUCAUCUAAGAGGUACAAGAUGAAACCUGCAGAAGUCACUCAGGGCCUGCACCUUCUGACUAUGAAAGGGUAGAAAGUUUACCUUCUGGGAUUACUUUUAAGGAAAAUGAGUAAGUUGAAACACCAUGCAUGGAUUCUGUGGUGCAGACAAAAGCUAAAGAAGAUCUGGUCAAAAAACAAAAACAAAAAAUCAUCAGCACAGAAGAGGCUGUUGACUACCCUCUCCAGUCUGUAGCUCUCCUUCUAGAGACACAGAUUUCCAGUAAGAUACAAGAAAAUACGGAUUUUAAAAGGCCAAACGCAUUGUCUAUACCGUGUUUCCUAAAAAAAAAUUAAGUACAUUAUUAUAUAGGAAUGGUAGUAUAUCUUAUCAUUCAUUCAAUUUUAAUAUUAAGGCUGCACAUUAUUGUCAUUAUUAUCUAUGGGAUACAUGAGAACAACAUGGUUAUACAAUGUGAACAUUGCAGGCCCAGCCUCUGCCUCUGGAAGUCCAUAAUCACAGACAGAUGUAAACAGGAUUAUACCAGCUCGAAAGAGAUAGCAUGGACAUCUUAUGAAUAGGAAGAAAGUGUCUACCAGCCAAGGACAACAAAGGAGUAAAAGCAUUGUUAGAGACUAUAUAGGAAGUGUUAGUAAAUUAUUAAAGGGAAAUAAAUAUUCUACAAAUGCAAAUAUUAAAAUGGAAUAAAUCUGAUUAAAUAACUUGAAAUUUACCUUAAAUUGUGUUCGGGGGUGGGGGGGUGGGGAUGUAAUUUCUAACACUAUGUUUAACACUAUGGUGGUUUGAAUAUACUUGGUCCAGAGAGUGGCACUAUUAGGAGGUGUGGCCUUUUUGGAGUAGGUGUGGUCUUGUUGGAGGAAGUGUGUCACUGUGGGGGUGGGCUUUGAGACCUGUAAGCCAGCCCAAUUAAGUGUUAUCUUUAUAAUUGUUUUGGUCAUAGUGUCUUUUCAUAAAACCCUUACUUAGUAAAACCCUAACUAAGGCAAACACACAACAGGUGUCAAAAAUAUUCAACUUAUUUCCCCAAGUUAUCUUGAUCUGCUUGCUUUGUUUGAUUUGUUUCUACUAUUUUAGAGGCAAAGUCACAAUUAUCAGACUUAUUUCUUACAGUUUAAGCAAUAAAAAUCUCUUCCAUUUUGGCUGGGUCUUGGGGAAGAAAGAGAGUUAUCCAACUGUGCUCUGUUUUCCACCUCAAGAGACCUCAGUGUUCUCAGCUGCUCAGUCCAUGCUGAAAAGAGAGACUGCCGUCUCUGUUAGCUUGUCUAUGAACUUGGGCCAUGUGGAGCUUUUCCUAUCAACUUUUCUCCAAUAGAAGAGAUUCACCUCCCAUUCUAGAGAAAUCUAGAAAAAUAGAAUCUGUGACUGAGCAAGCAGGAAAUGUACAUUUUUGAGAAGAAAGAGAUAAGUAGCCCCUCUGUAGGAAGGGCAUUGAAUUAUUUCAUUCUGAGCUGUUUUUCUUUUUCUAUUAAAAAUAGAUUUUUUAAUGCAAUAUAUUAUGAAUAUGGUUACCCUUCCCCCAACUCCCCAUUCACACAAAUCCACAUCAUUUUUUCUUCUCUCUCAUUAGAAAACAAACAGGCUUCCAAGAUUGUUUGCUUAUUUAUUUAAAACCAUUUUGCUGACGACUAAGCACUGACUAUAUUAAAGGUAGACAACAUGAUGAACUGACACAUACAAAUGUUGCAUAACUGUUACCACAGUCUAAUUAGCAUGUCCGUUGCCACCCUUGUAAGGUAUCUAAUCUUCAGAAUUUGUGAAAUUUGAACCCUUUGUCCCACAUCUUCUUUGGCAGGACCCCUACGUAGGACUCUACAGUGUUGGCUGUGUUUCACUCUAGCCAGAUACAUUUAAUAGUACCCUACUAAAACAAAAUCUGGAGUUAGAGCUAAGAGUUCUCACUGACCUGAAAGCAAAAUCAAACUGGUAGAAAUUUGCGAGACAACACAGUGAGAUUUCAUGCCCCCAGUUCCUCUGUGCUGGCUGGCACAUUUUUUGCUGGUUGUGUUUCUUCUUUCUUUGAAGAUAAUAAUUUGGUGACUUUCCUUUGGAACUUGAGAAAUCAUUGUCCUCAAGACAUAAACCAAGUUGUUGAGCUAUACUGAGGUAAAUUUGAAAUGAUAUGUAUUUAAAGUUCUUUUAGGUCAUAAAGCUUCUGACAUAUAACUGUGGUUCAAAACUGUUUCCUCUGAAAACAUAAUGAAGUUAACCAACAGACCAAGCAAUAAUUGGCUAAACGAAGGAAAACCUGUCUGGAUAAGACUAAGAAAUUCUAAGAAAUAGAAGAGUUUUUAAAAGGUCAAACUAAGCCUUUAAUCCCAGCAGUUGGGAGGCAGAGGCAGGCAGAUUUCUGAGUUCGAGGUCAGCCUGAUCUACAAAGUGAGUUCUAGGACAGCACAGAGAAACCCUGUCUCGAAAACAAACAAACAAACAGGUCAAACUAUCUGAGUAUGGUGGUGUACACCUUUAAUCUCUGCACUCUGGAGGCAGAGGCAAUUGGAUAUCUGUGAGUUCAAGGAAAAACUCAUCUAUUACUGAGUUCCAGGUCAGCUGAGAAUAUAUAACCCCUGUCUAAAGAAAAAAAAUCAAAUGGACAAAAACAAACAAACAAACAAACAAAACCAAGGUAUAAUGAGGAGGAGAUUUAGUUGGCUCAUGGGUCCACAAAAUGGUCAUUGCAGGUUGUGGCAAACUUUAUCAAGGAGAGGGACAGAAAAAGAAAAAGGUAAAUAAAAAAAGAAAAGUUUGUUCUACAAGAUUAAUUUAAUGGUUCUUAUGACAGGCUUCAGAGUCAUCCUGAUAUAUAAUGAAAAUUAGUCCUUUCACGGAAGAAGAGAUUGUCCCAGAUUACAUUAUCACAAUGUAGUGAAACAGCCACCUGGGUAAACCUGUGUGUGUUGGCUGUGUUUCACCUAAGCUACCGUGCACAUAUUAAUCAAAUAGCACUACCUUCUUCCACGUUUCUAUUACCUGCCCUACUUUGUGCCAAUUUCCUUUCUCUUCCUCAGCACCUCUUCUUCACUGUUCUUUAAGACAUGGGAUGGGGAUUUGUCAAAGUCAAUGAGCACUUUAUUACAGUGAGAACGUUCUGUAAUGAACAAUUCAGCAGUUUAAUGAGAUUCUGUAGAUCUGUCUCCAGCCUGUCUGUCAAGUUUCACUUCUAUAAAGCACCCUGACACUAAUCCACAGGCAGACCCAAUCUUUACCCUGGGCUGAAUAUUAGAUUCGUCCAUGGUAUAUUACAUUACUAGUAUAACCUCAGCAAAAAAUGAUGAACUUAACUCUACUUGAGGCAAUAUAGUUGGUCUGAUUUGAUUUUUCUCUAUUGAGUAUGAAGGAAUUACUUAUUUACUAAGAUAAAGCAAAAACAAUUUCUUAUUGCCUCCUGAAUGCCUAAAUUGAUAAUAUUUAUGGAAGUCUUUUAAUUCUUUUUUGGGGAUCAGGUCUAACAAACUAUCAUAUUGCCUGCAGAAACCAGUUUCUAAAAUUCUACUUUAUAAAACUAGUGGCCUUUAGAAAGGCAAUUGUGAUAGCUUCUAUACAGACAGAAUGGAAUUUUCCUGAUAGUCAGACAUCUGCACUUUACUGUGCCUAUCUAAGGCAGUGCCUAAAACUAUGGGAAAAUAACAGGCAGAUGUCACAAGAAGAGGUGACUUCAAAUCUCAGUUGUGUUAGUAAAAAACUGACAUACAGAAUCCAUUGUGUUUCUUUUUCCCUUAAUGAAGGGAUUUGGCUACUUCAUACUCUGAGCUGGCCAUAGUAAAUUCUGAUGGUUUGUAUGAUAGGAGGGAGCUCCAGAUUUCUGAACUCCCUGUCAGAACCGCAUCCUCAACAACUCUUGCAACCAUGGCAAAACUUCCUAGAAAUGCCCAGGAUGCAGCAGACUCUUGUAGCCUCUUUUAAAAUCAAGACUGUGGACUGGGGGAGAGAUAUGGUAGCUAUCAACAGCCUUGGAUUGGAAGGGUGUCUCUGCUCUGUAAACUAGAGCCAAGUUCUGAUGUCUUUAUUCUAUUUGUUAGAAGAUGGAGACAGUCACCCACCUGGCCUGUUGUGCACUAAAUCAAUAAGUUUCACAUGCCUGUGACUUUGCUGGCCCUAAUCUCUUACUACAUUCAAUAAA